AAAAAAAAAGACUCGACGGGGCAACGGUGGUUGUCAUUAACAUUUCAGAGGAGGAAUUUUUUUUUUUCUUUUCUUUUUCACCCAACGGAGCGAACGCGGCGCACGGAGCUUCGUCAGAUGCUCGCGUGGUGGCGGGCUAUCAAUUUAAUCUUUUCUCGAUGAAUGGACGACGGAUCGGUUUUCUUAAAGUGCCGGUUUCACUCGGAGAGCCGCAUUUCUUGACCCCCCUUUAGCCGGACGUAUGGUGUAUUCUAAGGUUUGUGGCUGCGUUUCACCAUGGGUCAUAUAUUCGUGCCGUGGCGCGCCCUUAAAUUAUGCGCGCAAUUACGCGUACCUGCAUCGCGUAAGUGCAUCCUCGUACAGCGACGUUGCGCACACCAGCGCCAUCGUCCAGAGAGCGGGAGAAAAGGUGGAGAAUACGAGGAACGGAGACGGACGAAAGAUUACCGAGUCGGAGGAAAGGUUGAGGGAAAGAGAUAGACGGAUGGAGAUAGACGGCGAAAGAAGGGAAGGGAAGGAGGAUACGUAAACGAUCGCGAAAUUGCGCGACUCUUCUACGUACUGUUCUACAGCGAUUUUGCUGUUUUUUUUUUCUUUGCGAGGUGUUAACGACGAGUAGAAGUGGCUGUAUAGGUCGACCAAGUGCUGUCGAGUUAGCAAGAUACGAACAAACGUUGAACGCAUCACGAGAGAAAUAUCCAAUGUGUCGCCUAACCUAUAACGCGUUUCGAAAUGUCGACACUGAUAGCUCGAGCUUUAUGGAAGAGGAGCUUAUAUACUGCUUAGUAAAUGGAAAACGUUGGGACAAAUUCUUCCUAAACCACCAUUCUAUUGGAACCAAGAUAUGAAUAUUGAAAGCGAACCGCCGGUAAAUCGCUGUCUGCGUAUUAGCCGGUGGUUGAAGACGUCUUAACCUCAAAGAUUUUCUUUUUGAGGACGAAAAUAGUCGGCGCGGCGGCACUUGGGCGGUAGUCGAGGAGAGACGGUUUUCAGAGAUAGAGAAGUGUAUCUCUGACACACCGGGUGUGCACCGCGUGUAUAAAUUUCAUCGUGUACACACGCGCACGCAUAAAUCGCGCGUAACCCUCGGGGUAGGCGCGUAAACACGCGCGCGCGCGCGCGCAUCGCGAGAAGCAUGCGGCCAGUUAGGGAGGAAUGGAAAGGUGGAGGAAGAGAGACGGAGAGAAACAAGAGUCCUGCGUGUUCAAACAAAGAUGCCUCCCUGCGUUCGAUUCGCACUGUCUCUGGCUCGGUCGUAUAAAACACAAGUGUCGUGCUUGCGCGUGCUCUCACCGCCGAGAUAACGAACAGUCUGUAUUCUCGUUAGCAGCCGUGGCAGCCGUUAAGAUAACAACGAGACACGACACUCGCAGCGAGCACGAAAAGAAGAUUUAAAGUCGUCUUAGGAUAUAGUAGAAGUUUCAUAAAUUAGUCGCUAGAGCGUAGAAGUCGCCACCAUCGACUUGCCGUGUUGCGUGGGACGCUGGCCACACUGGAGAAAGGGCAGGCCAGCGUCGUUUUCAUUUCCCUUAACCGUGAAACCGUAACCUCGGGCGCGAAUUAAAUCCACCGUGAAACAACGAGAACUAACCCUCUUUUCACGCUGGUAAUUAACGUGCCGGUAACUGGUUUAAAGGUUCGUUAAAUUUUAUAAUGUUAAUGGAAUGCGAGAAGUGCCGAACAGUGACAACGCAGCAGUAAAUGUGCUACGCUCGAUCGUAACCGCGAAAAAAUUUUCACCGCACUUUUAUCACGGAAGAAUUUUCACGGAAGAUUUUCUCGCGCGUAUUUAAACGUAAUUUCUUUAAUCACGAAUUUCUUCGAAAUUAUAAAAAUAUUCGCGAAAAUUAUGAAUUUUUUUUAUCGAAUCGUGACGUUGCGUUAUACGAAAGAAAAACUCGAUUGAUUCAAAUAUUUUUUAUCACGUUUCAGAAACUCGUUUAACGAUAUUAAAAAUUUUAUUCGGCAAAUCAAGCGUGUCAUUACUUUCGCAUCCAAGCAAUAAACUUGUUUUUAUUAUAUACUAAUAUUUUUAUUAUUGCUUUUCUUACAAAUUAAAAAAAAAAAUUUUUGAAUUAUUUCGUUUUUAACGUUCGCUAAUUGAUUCGUAAAUCUUGUAUAUACUCGUAAAGUAUAUAUUAUCCAUAAUACAAUCUAUAAGUAAUCGUUAAAAAUUUCAUUAAUUACAAGAGAUAUUAAUU